UCCGUAUCCACCGUCACCACCUCCUUCACGUCUGCCACCACCACCACCGUAUCCUCCACCUCCACCGUAACCGCCGCCUCCACGGCCGCCACCUCCAGAUCCGUAACCUCCACCUCCACGUCUGUCACCGUAUCCACCGCCGCCUCCACCGUAACCACCACCUCCACGGCCACCGUAUCCACCUCCACCACGGCCUCCUCCACCGCCGCUUCCUCUAGACUGAGCCUCGUUGACGGUGAUGGUACGUCCGUCGAGCUCCUUUCCGUUCAUCUCAUCGAUAGCAUCCCUCAUGGACUUCUCAUCCUUGAAGGUCACGAAUCCGAAUCCCCUCGAUCUCCCAGUCUCACGAUCGUUAAUGAUCUGUCAAUAACCAUAUCAAAAACAACCAUCAGCAACAGAGCAAGCUGAAUGAAUCAAAAAAAGCGAUGAUGGAUGGAAACAAAGAAAUCGUAACGUUCUCCGGGCUCGUAAAAGCAGCAGGAAGAUUAAACGUACCGAUGGGACAAAGCAAGUAACAGUAGUAACAAAGAACAUAGUAACAGAGUAAUCGAAUCAAGUAACAGAGAAACACAGAUCGGAAUCAGAUCCGCCGAGGAUCAGAACCAUCCUGGAGUCCGAUCUCUCGUGUGUAACGGACCUUUGAAUCGAUAACUUCGCCGAACUGUGAGA
rnacentral:lncRNA from 1 species